GACGAACGCUGGCGGCGCGCCUAACACAUGCAAGUCGAACGAGAGAUGAAGAGCUUGCUCUUCAAAUCGAGUGGCGAACGGGUGAGUAACGCGUGAGGAACCUGCCUCAAAGAGGGGGACAACAGUUGGAAACGGCUGCUAAUACCGCAUAAGCCCACGGCUCGGCAUCGAGCAGAGGGAAAAGGAGCAAUCCGCUUUGAGAUGGCCUCGCGUCCGAUUAGCUAGUUGGUGAGGUAACGGCCCACCAAGGCGACGAUCGGUAGCCGGACUGAGAGGUUGAACGGCCACAUUGGGACUGAGACACGGCCCAGACUCCUACGGGAGGCAGCAGUGGGGAAUCUUCCGCAAUGGGCGAAAGCCUGACGGAGCAACGCCGCGUGAACGAUGAAGGUCUUAGGAUCGUAAAGUUCUGUUGUUAGGGACGAAGGGCAAGGGUUAUAAUACAGCCUUGUUUGACGGUACCUAACGAGAAGCCACGGCUAACUACGUGCCAGCAGCCG
rnacentral:rRNA from 1 species